rnacentral:rRNA from 1 species
GACGGAGGGUGCAAGCGUUGUUCGGAUUCACUGGGCGUAAAGGGUGCGUAGGUGGCCGGGUAAGUCUGACGUGAAAUCUCCGAGCCUAACUCGGAAACUGCAUCGGAUACUAUCCGGCUUGAGGGUUGGAGGGGGGACUGGAAUACUUGGUGUAGCAGUGAAAUGCGUAGAUAUCGAGUGGAACACCAGUGGCGAAGGCGAGUCCCUGGACAACUCCUGACACUGAGGCACGAAAGCUAGGGGAGCAAACAGG